rnacentral:rRNA from 1 species
CCUACGGGUGGCUGCAGUGGGGAAUAUUGCGCAAUGGGCGAAAGCCUGACGCAGCGACGCCGCGUGAGGGAUGAAGGUCUUCGGAUCGUAAACCUCUGUCAGCAGGGAAGAACGGUCACUGUGCUAAUCAGCAGUGAAUUGACGGUACCUGCAAAGGAAGCACCGGCUAACUCCGUGCCAGCAGCCGCGGUUAUACGGAGGGUGCGGGCGUUAAUCGGAAUUACUGGGCGUAAAGCGCUCGUAGGCGGUAUGUCCAGGCAAGGGGGAAAUCCCCGCGGUCAAAGCGGGAACUGCCUUUGAAACUGGGGAACUGGAGUGUGUGAGAGGAUAGUGGAAUGCCAGGUGUAGGAGUGAAAUCCGUAGAUAUCUGGAGGAACAUCAGUGGCGAAGGCGACUAUCUGGCACAUAACUGACGCUGAGGAGCGAAAGCGUGGGGAGCAAACAGGAUUAGAUACCCUGGUAGUC